UUCCAAAUUAGGGUUCACCUUGAGAGCUAUAAUGGGAGGGAACCAUAGCAAAGCCCAAAGAUGCAGAUUGGGCCUGGGCCUCUGGCUGCUUCCCCUGCUUCAAUGCUUAGGGCCCCAGCCCCAGCCUGGGCUCACCGAGGCUUGGCACCUAUGACUUAGUGCUUCAAAGUCCUAGACAGCAUCUUCCUAAGAGGCAGUGCUCCUCCCCCUGCCCCCCAAUAGCUGGGUGAGAGAAUAGGAAUUCCCUGGUGGUCAACCAUCUCUUACAGGAGACUCCCAAACUCCCAGAGCUUUUGGAGAAUCCUUGCUCAUUUGGACCUGAACCUUGAGUAUGAGGACCAGCUGUAUGCUUGCUUGGAAGAGGAGGUAAAGGCUGUGAGUGAGGGGAACGGGUUGUUGGUUGCAGGGAGCUGUGUGAAGACUUUAAGUGUUAUUCUCUCUCUCUCUCUCUCUCUCUCUGUCUGUCUUCCUCCUCCUCCUCUCUGUGUGUGUGUAUGUGUGUGCUUUUGUCUGUCUCUCUGUGUGUCUGUCACUCUGUCUCUGUCAUUUCUGUCUCUGUCAUUGCUGUCUCUCUCUGUCUCUCCAGUCUGUUUCUCUCUGUCUGUCUCUCUCUCUCCCCAACCCUCAGUUGCUACUGGUGGGGGUGAACUACAAGUUGCUGGAAGUGGAUAAAGGAAAGCUAAUGCUGAAUCCCAUUCUACAGAGGUCUAAGCAACAGCCCCCAAUUGUCUCACAUGGCCCUCUAAAGUCCCAAAGAGUAGGGUAGGGUAGGAAGAGUGAGGGAAAGUAGAGCUCAUUCAGCCUUCAACUUCAUCUCUUUUCUAGGCCUAUACCUGGCUGAGCUGCCUCACUCUGCCUCAUAUGGGAAUAUUCCCUUCCCCUCCUGCAAAAGUGAGCUAUCUACUUGCUUCCCCCUUUCUCAGCCCCAUUCCUACCAUCCCUGCCUCCCAUCUCAACCUUCUUUUCUUUAAUUCUAACCUUGAAUUUACUAAGGUAACCUUCCCAAGACAUUACCCAAGAUGAUACCUGCCCCUGUACCUCCUAGAUUUCUUAGCUCCUGCAGGUAAGUCCAGGAAAUUCUCUUUGGGCAAGUCUAAAUUAAUAAACACAGGUUUAGAUGCCUCAAACUGAAUGCCAAGUUUGUCUUUGGUUAUUAUGGGAAACAAAUACAUAUCCUAAAUGCUAUUAAUGUUUGCUAAAAUAGUAAAUGCCUUUUUAUGCAGCCACUAAUAAAUGGAGUUCCUGUUCCAGGUUUGCACAGCUAAUUCAGCAUGAAUAACCAGAAAGUAAAAUCUAUGAAAUCCCCCAACUAUGUCCACUCUCAUCUACAUCCACCAUAAAAAAUAAUAAUAAAAAUAAAACCAAACAACAAACAAAAACUCUUUGUGCCUCCUGUAGCUUAGGAUAAGGAAGUUGCCUAUCACAUGGGUUAAAUACCUCACUACACAUACCCAAUAUAACAUGUUUACCUGAAUAUUGUUACAAACCUUUUCCUGUAGAGGACUCUUGCACUUAUCAAGGGCUUAACUGGUAAGGAAGUGGCUACUAAAGAGGCCCUACCCAGUGUAUCCUUUGGUCUCCUUUGUGCUUCCCUUUCCUGCCUCCUGCCUCCUGCCUCACCAGCCCAAAGGCUCUGCCUUGGACUUCCUUUGGUCCCAGUUUUAUUCUUAUGUUUUCUGACCACCUCUUGCCAGCAUCCAAAUGCUCUCUGCAUGCUGCCCUACACCCCAUCUCCUUUCUAAAUCUCGAUCUGGUUUCUCUUUCGGAAACAUGUUUCAGUACAAAGCGUUUCCCUUCUGACACCACUGAAGAAAAAUAUGUGUCCAUUGUUGUGAGAGGCCUUAUUGUGCCUGGAUUACCAUACUGACCGUUGGCUAACCCAUAUUCCUCCCCUCCCCAGUAACAAGAUGCAGGCUGAGGUACCCCAGCAGCUCCACAGAUUCUGAGCUGUAGUAAAACCCCACCUUAUAGUCCCUGGAUUUUCUGAGGGGCAAAAAAUAAAAUAAAAUAUAAAAUAAACAAUUCAGAAUUUAGAGGGUAAAAAGAAGGAAAAUAAAGAUCAUUCCCACUCUCUGAAGUCCAGGGCUUGGGUUGUUGUUUUUUAAUGUAUGUACUUUGUAUUGUUUUAGGGAUUACAAAUUACAGCAUGCUUCUUUCCUUUUCCUCAAAUAAAUUGACUUUUAGAUGGUAUGCAAUCAGGCAAUUCAUUUCAUUUUGAUUUUUUUCUCCCCCCGGGCAACUUGAAAAUCCCAAACUAAAACAAGAUUCUUGCACCAUUUUUUUUCCCUUUGUGUAUCUCUCUGUGUGUACAUGGGUAUAUGUAUGUUUUUGUCCUUUCCUAAUGCCAGCAGGCAGGACUAAUGUAUGCAAAAGAAUAUGCAAAUGCUUAAUUGAUUUUUUUCUUAAAUCUCUUGUCAGUAAAAAUAAUGAAUUGGUCUAAAAUGAUUUUAAUAACCUGGAUGUGUCACUAGAAAAUACUCAACCUUUUUCAUCCUCUUGGAACUGCUUAUUGUCUCAAAAAAAGAAAGAAAGAAAGAAAGAAAGAAAAAGAAAAAGAAAAGAAGGAAAAAAGAAAUCACAAUGUUAAUUUGUUCCCUUUAAAAUAUUAAAGAUGAAUUUCUUGUGUUUGUUCAGAGACCAUAGGCAAAGUCCUCUUGCAGAUCUCCCCCGCCUUGCCUUCCUUGGAAUUCAAUUUUCCUCAAAUCUCGUUUAAAGUGGCUUUUAAAAAAGUGGCCGCAUUUUAAUAUUGGUUAGACAGAGUGACCUGCAUUUCACCUCGGGUGUUUGACUUGUUCCAAUAGGUCACUGCCAUGGGGUUAUUGAUGGGGAAACUCCAUUGAAAUUUGUCUCUUCGCAAAUGGCCUUUAGAUCUUCCAGCGAGUUCAAUAACUAGUUAUAAUGUGGAAGAGGAAAAAUGAAGGCCCUGGGCUAACGAAUUUGAUGCUUCAUUUUUAUGCUAGAGAAAUUGUUAGUUAGAGGUUGGGUUCCCCCACCCCCUGUUCAUCCCAUCUUGGGUCACCCCCCCCAUUCAAAGCUGCUGGAUUAUAUCUCCUAUUAAGACUUGCAUUGAGGAGUCCCUUUCUCUCUGAUGCAAACCUUAUGAAUACUGUUGUAAACUCUGACCUACCUACAGAUUAGGAGGAAGCUUGCUUUGUUGGAGGUUUGGAACCUGAACUUUUUUGUUAUGAGAACUUUCAAAGGAGAAUAAAUACGUCUUGAAAAAAAAUCUAGAGAUUAGGCUGGCCAUAGUUUAGAGAGAGCUCCUUGGCACCCAACGUGGAGGAAACUGAAAACUCUUUUUGAGGGUUGACAGGGUAUUUCAAGGUGUUCUAGUGUAUUCCUGGCCUCAGAGUUUCCAGCCACAAGAGAGAGUAGGCACCAAAGACCAAGACAAGAAGACAAUCAAGGACUAAGCAUAGAGGGGAAUAUUUCGUGAGGGGUAAGGGGAUGCAGGGUCUUCUUUAGGGUCACAACAGCACUCCCGUGAACUUGGUUAGGUAAUUGCUCAAAGAACUCUGCUCCUUCACAAGAAGGGUGCUCCUCUAAGAAAGACCUAAAGACAAGACUGGAGAGAGAGGGGGGAGAUGAAGGGAUGAAGGCUGUAAGAUUUCCUCUUUUCUGGACGGCUCUGGAGGUGGGAGAAGAAAGGUCACAGUAAGAUAGGGUAGGUCUUCAUUUUAUUUCUUCCAACCACAGCCAAGGUGGGGAGUCCUUGACAUCCCUUGAGAUCCUCUGUGAUAAGGGACUGCACAGUUCGGCGGUCCUUGACCCAGCCACAGCAGAUCACUGCCAUUAUUAACCUCAGUAAUAACCGUGCAUCUUCUUUUUACAGAACGGAGCUCCCAGCGCCUUAUUCUUUCCUCUCUUACCCUGCUCAAAGGGGCCCAGUUUGCUCAGCCCCAAACCUCCCCGUGACCUCCUUCCAAGCCUCAGUCUAUCACCGGAGUCAUCCAAAAGAUCCGUGUUAUCAGUGGGAUCAAGGAGAAGCCUCAACUGCCAAUAGGCGUCUUAACAGCAUAAAAACAGGGAAGCCCAUGAAUGGGCUGUGGCAGCCGCUGGAUAGGCCCGGGAGGUUUCCCACUUCCUAGCCCAGCGGGAAACAACAGCAAGGAGUUCUGAACUUCCCGCAGCGGCUACGCGCGUCCGGAGGACAGGCCAGUUACACCCGCAUGCUUGCCACCUCGGGGUGGGGGGAGGCCCAAUACUUAGGCCACAGAACCUCGGACCGCCCCCCCCCAGCCUCACCCUUCCCCGUUCUAAUUACGUGAUUGAUUUUCUCUAGGGUUUCUUCGGGACGCCUCUGUCUCUGAAUGUUUAAAUCUUUCGGCUCCAUUUUUGUUUUCCCGAGUUCUCCCGAGAUGUGCCGGCGGCCGGCGCGUUUUGAGGUCCCUAGGCCGUCUCGCCUUACACUCCAAAGAAAUGGCCAAGCCACACAGUCCUGGGCGCGCCGAGACUGCAACUAUAUGAUCCUGCCCACCCGCCUCGGAGUCACUUGAUGAUGCGCGAGCCUUCUAGUUUGAGCUGUCCCCUGGCGCCUGACCUGGGAUCUGGGAACUCUGGUUCGUGUUUCUAUUUAUCCCCAAGAAAGUGCGGAAAAAGCCUGGGCUGAGACCAAAGGAGGCAGGACGCGGGUUCAGACUCGCAGCCUGGUGAACACCUGGACUCGGUACUGGCUAUCUAGCAACCCUGAGAAGCACAUCUGACCACAAUUCCACAAGCCCUGGCGUCCUUUGGACCACAGGCCCUGAGGUCCUGGCUGCGGACCCCAACAAGCAUCAGGCGAUAGGGUCGGAUUGUUACCCGCUGCCAGGAGGCCCCUCAACUUGGCCGCCCCAGCAGCAGACGGCGGCCUUUUCUGGUGGCUUCUGUCCGGGACCCUGUGGUCCGGCCCCCUCCACUCAAAGGCUGCAGGUGAGGCGAGGAGGGGAAAGGGCAGACAUGUUAAAUUUGAGAGUGGGUUAGGGUAAGGUGGAAGUGGAGGACUAGAGUCUAGAACUCAGCCUCUCCGAAGAGAAGGCCGACUGACCUCUUGCUCCCCUUUACCAUCCGGAAAGAAAAACUUUCAUCUCCCAACUGCUGGGCUUCUAGUCCAUCUCUUUAUUUACAAUUAAUAAACACUCCUCUGCUUCCAC